rnacentral:rRNA from 1 species
GGCGGACGGGUGAGUAAUGCAUAGGAAUCUGCCUAUUAGUGGGGGACAACGUGGGGAAACUCACGCUAAUACCGCAUACGCCCUACGGGGGAAAGCUGGGGAUCUUCGGACCUGGCGCUAAUAGAUGAGCCUAUGUUGGAUUAGCUAGUUGGUAGGGUAAUGGCCUACCAAGGCGACGAUCCAUAGCUGGUCUGAGAGGAUGAUCAGCCACACUGGGACUGAAACACGGCCCAGACUCCUACGGGAGGCAGCAGUGGGGAAUAUUGGACAAUGGGCGAAAGCCUGAUCCAGCAAUACCGCGUGUGUGAAGAAGGCCUGAGGGUUGUAAAGCACUUUCAAUAGGAAGGAAUACCUGCCGGUUAAUACCCGGUAGACUGACAUUACCUAUACAAGAAGCACCGGCUAACUCCGUGCCAGCAGCCGCGGUAAUACGGAGGGUGCAAGCGUUAAUCGGAAUUACUGGGCGUAAAGCGUGCGUAGGCGGUUGUUUAAGUCAGAUGUGAAAGCCCUGGGCUUAACCUGGGAACUGCAUUUGAUACUGGGCAACUAGAGUUUAGUAGAGGGGAGUGGAAUUUCAGGUGUAGCGGUGAAAUGCGUAGAGAUCUGAAGGAACACCAGUGGCGAAGGCGGCUCCCUGGACUAAAACUGACGCUGAGGUACGAAAGCGUGGGUAGCAAACAGGAUUAGAUACCCUGGUAGUCCACGCCGUAAACGAUGUCAACUAACUGUUGGGUUCUUAAAGAACUUAGUAGUGGAGCUAACGUAUUAAGUUGACCGCCUGGGGAGUACGGCCGCAAGGCUAAAACUCAAAUGAAUUGACGGGGGCCCGCACAAGCGGUGGAGCAUGUGGUUUAAUUCGAUGCAACGCGAAGAACCUUACCUAC